rnacentral:rRNA from 1 species
UACGACUACAUAUCAGGCAUAUCAAUAAGCGGAGGAAAAGAAACUAACUAGGAUUCCCUUAGUAACAGGCGAGUGAAGCGGGAAGAGCUCAAAUUUGAAAUCUUCAAGGUUUUACCUUGACGAAUUGUAGUUUAAAGAAGUGUUUUCUGUUGGAGUUUUGGUAAAAGUUCUUUGGAAUAGGACAUCAUAGAGGGUGAGAAUCCCGUAUUUGACCAUUAUUUCCAGCUUUGUGAUACACUUUCAAAGAGUCGGAUUGUUUGGGAAUGCAGUCCAAAAUGGGUGGUAAAUUUCAUCUAAAGCUAAAUAUUGGCGAGAGACCGAUAGUGAACAAGUACCGUGAGGGAAAGAUGAAAAGAACUUUGAAAAGAGAGUUAAACAGUACGUGAAAUUGUCAAAAGGGAAGCGUUUGACACCAGUGUUGUUUUCUCGAAAAUCAAUUAAAAAAAGUUGGAUUUUGUGUUGUAUUGACCUUAACAGCUUGCUUCACUCUUUUCCAGCUUUUUUUAAUGCACUUUUCGUUUAACAAGUCAACAUCAGUUUCUUUUGUUGUAAAAGGGUCAUUGGAAGGUGGCUUUCUCUUCGGAGAAGGUGUUUAUAGCCUUUGAUCUCUGCAAUCGGAGAGACUGAGGUCUGCAGCGUAGAUCCUUCGGGGUUAGAUACAUUUGUGCUAAGCUACUAGCUUUUCAUAGACAACUUGUUGACUAUGAUCAGUCAUGUAGCUUACUCGCUUAUGCUAUUUUACCUACGCUUAGGAUGUUGAGCGCAUGUCUCUCUCU